AGUAGUUUGAUCAUGGCUACAGAACGAACGCUGGCGGCAGGCUUAACACAUGCAAGUCGAACGGUUGUAGCAAUACAGCAGUGGCGCACGGGUGAGUAACGCGUGGAUAUCUGCCUUUUGGUUCGGAAUAACUCCGGGAAACUGGAGCUAAUACCGGAUGGUUCCUGCGGGAUAAAGAUUUAUCGCCAAAAGAUGAGUCCGCGUACGAUUAGCUAGUUGGUGAGGUAAUGGCUCACCAAGGCGACGAUCGUUAGCUGGUCUGAGAGGACGAUCAGCCACACUGGGACUGAGACACGGCCCAGACUCCUACGGGAGGCAGCAGUGGGGAAUAUUGGACAAUGGGGGCAACCCUGAUCCAGCCAUGCCGCGUGAGUGAUGAAGGCCUUCGGGUUGUAAAGCUCUUUUGGCGGGGACGAUGAUGACGGUACCCGCAGAAUAAGCCCCGGCUAACUUCGUG
rnacentral:rRNA from 1 species